GGGGACGGACCACAGCUCAGUGAUAGAGCAUCUGCCUUGCAUGCAGGAAGUCCCAGGUUCAAUCUCUGAUGCCCCUA